rnacentral:rRNA from 1 species
GACGAACGCUGGCGGCGUGCCUAAUACAUGCAAGUCGAACGAACUCUGGUAUUGAUUGGUGCUUGCAUCAUGAUUUACAUUUGAGUGAGUGGCGAACUGGUGAGUAACACGUGGGAAACCUGCCCAGAAGCGGGGGAUAACACCUGGAAACAGAUGCUAAUACCGCAUAACAACUUGGACCGCAUGGUCCGAGUUUGAAAGAUGGCUUCGGCUAUCACUUUUGGAUGGUCCCGCGGCGUAUUAGCUAGAUGGUGGGGUAACGGCUCACCAUGGCAAUGAUACGUAGCCGACCUGAGAGGGUAAUCGGCCACAUUGGGACUGAGACACGGCCCAAACUCCUACGGGAGGCAGCAGUAGGGAAUCUUCCACAAUGGACGAAAGUCUGAUGGAGCAACGCCGCGUGAGUGAAGAAGGGUUUCGGCUCGUAAAACUCUGUUGUUAAAGAAGAACAUAUCUGAGAGUAACUGUUCAGGUAUUGACGGUAUUUAACCAGAAAGCCACGGCUAACUACGUGCCAGCAGCCGCGGUAAUACGUAGGUGGCAAGCGUUGUCCGGAUUUAUUGGGCGUAAAGCGAGCGCAGGCGGUUUUUUAAGUCUGAUGUGAAAGCCUUCGGCUCAACCGAAGAAGUGCAUCGGAAACUGGGAAACUUGAGUGUAGAAGAGGACAGUGGAACUCCAUGUGUAGCGGUGAAAUGCGUAGAUAUAUGGAAGAACACCAGUGGCGAAGGCGGCUGCCUGGUCUGUAACUGACGCUGAGGCUCGAAAGUAUGGGUAGCAAACAGGAUUAGAUACCCUGGUAGUCCAUACCGUAAACGAUGAAUGCUAAGUGUUGGAGGGUUUCCGCCCUUCAGUGCUGCAGCUAACGCAUUAAGCAUUCCGCCUGGGGAGUACGGCCGCAAGGCUGAAACUCAAAGGAAUUGACGGGGGCCCGCACAAGCGGUGGAGCAUGUGGUUUAAUUCGAAGCUACGCGAAGAACCUUACCAGGUCUUGACAUACUAUGCAAAUCUAAGAGAUUAGACGUUCCCUUCGGGGACAUGGAUACAGGUGGUGCAUGGUUGUCGUCAGCUCGUGUCGUGAGAUGUUGGGUUAAGUCCCGCAACGAGCGCAACCCUUAUUAUCAGUUGCCAGCAUUAAGUUGGGCACUCUGGUGAGACUGCCGGUGACAAACCGGAGGAAGGUGGGGAUGACGUCAAAUCAUCAUGCCCCUUAUGACCUGGGCUACACACGUGCUACAAUGGAUGGUACAACGAGUUGCGAACUCGCGAGAGUAAGCUAAUCUCUUAAAGCCAUUCUCAGUUCGGGUUGUAGGCUGCAACUCGCCUACAUGAAGUCGGAAUCGCUAGUAAUCGCGGAUCAGCAUGCCGCGGUGAAUACGUUCCCGGGCCUUGUACACACCGCCCGUCACACCAUGAGAGUUUGUAACACCCAAAGUCGGUGGGGUAACCUUUUAGGAACCAGCCGCCUAAGGUGGGACAGGUGAUUAGGGUG